rnacentral:rRNA from 1 species
UACGAAGGGGGCUAGCGUUGCUCGGAAUCACUGGGCGUAAAGCGCACGUAGGCGGCUUCUUAAGUCAGGGGUGAAAUCCUGGAGCUCAACUCCAGAACUGCCCUUGAUACUGGAAAGCUUGAGUUCGGGAGAGGUGAGUGGAACUGCGAGUGUAGAGGUGAAAUUCGUAGAUAUUCGCAAGAACACCAGUGGCGAAGGCGGCUCACUGGCCCGAUACUGACGCUGAGGUGCGAAAGCGUGGGGAGCAAACAGG